CAGAUGAUGGCAACUAUAGAUGAACAUGCAAAGCUGCUAAAUAAUCAUUGUACAGUAAUCAUUGCCCUAAAAGGGAGGAACUUGUCAACAAAUCAGCAGAUCAAUGAAAGCAGUUGACAAUUAUAGACCGGUCUUCUGGGAUGACUGUUUAGGACAUCAGCACAUCAGAUGUUGGUCUGGACAGCUGUAUACCACAAUGACCUCCGCUUUUGAAUGGAUGGCUGACUACUACCUUGUUCUCUGAAGGUAUUACUAUAGCAAACCUGAGCACCCGUGACAGUGGAAAAGAUGCAAUGAACCCUCACACAUGGAUAUUGGUAAAUGUUGUUUUACUCAUUCUCUCUAACAAACACAACACAACAGUUACACCAUUUCAAAUUCUGAAGUGCACAAAUCCUAUUCUACAAAAAAGAGAACAACAGUAUACAAGUGCUCAGUUUAGCCCCUUUCACAGAUUCCAGAUAAUAUAUGUGUAAUGUGUCCCGGCAAUUGUUCCCAGAUCGUUAGAUUUUGGUUCAUUCACACUGCCAGUGAUUUCCUGGAAUCUGUGUGGGCCUUCACACACAACCCAUAA